AGAUGUGAGGACAAUCUGGCUGUGACAUCUGUCACGCCCUUGAUUUUCAGGGUUGAUUUGGCUGAUCUGGCUGGCUAGGCUGAUGUCCCCUUCAACUUCACAACCCCAUGUGUGUCCCUCCUGAAGUUGCAUGCUGGUCAAAGAGGAUGACCAUCCCCAAUAAAAAAGGACCAGUCUUCAGUCAAGGGUAUAUGAGUAGCUGCACUCCCCUCCUGGAACCUCAAAACUCUCAAAUAAUUGUUAAUUCUUAAGAUACAAGGAGCUAACUAGGGGUUAGAAUGAUUUCCCAAACUUCUCCUAGAAGGAGACUAUAAUG
ensembl:misc_RNA 7SK 7SK RNA